GACGAACGCUGGCGGCGUGCUUAACACAUGCAAGUCGAACGGAAAGGCCCUGCUUUUGUGGGGUGCUCGAGUGGCGAACGGGUGAGUAACACGUGAGUAACCUGCCCUUGACUUUGGGAUAACUUCAGGAAACUGGGGCUAAUACCGGAUAGGAGCUCCUGCUGCAUGGUGGGGGUUGGAAAGUUUCGGCGGUUGGGGAUGGACUCGCGGCUUAUCAGCUUGUUGGUGGGGUAGUGGCUUACCAAGGCUUUGACGGGUAGCCGGCCUGAGAGGGUGACCGGCCACAUUGGGACUGAGGUACGGCCCAGACGCCUACGGGAGGCAGCAGGGGGGAAUAUUGCACAAUGGGCGGAAGCCUGAUGCAGCAACGCCGCGUGCGGGAUGACGGCCUUCGGGUUGUAAACCGCUUUCGCCUGUGACGAAGCGUGAGUGACGGUAAUGGGUAAAGAAGCACCGGCUAACUACGUG
rnacentral:rRNA from 1 species